rnacentral:lncRNA from 1 species
CACUCUGCUCUGCCAACCUUGCUUCAUUUGGCCUCUGCAGAUACCCACACACCUUCACCCCCUCUUGGUUUGCCUCCUUCACUCUCACAGAGCGUGUCAUCUUUGUUUGUGUAUAUUUGUUUUGUGGGUUAUCUGCUUGUUGUUUUUAUGCAUCUUCUCUUGAUUAAUUUUUGUUUCCUUGUAGCCCACUGAUUCCGUCUAUAACAUGCUGCUAGGUUCUUCGUUUGGCUGGAUUGUAGGUGGCCUUUUGCAAGAAGAGUUUCAGUGCUCAGCAUAUUGCAGUCAUUGCAGCAGCGAGUUCUAUGAAGCACAUCAAUCAAGGGUACAUAGUCAAUGACAAUCCCUCCCAUUUAAUUAGAUGGUUUGCCAGUUUCUUCAUGUAGAUAGUAUCAUAGUGAUGCGAUUCAGAUGUUUAUAAUUCUUUUCUAACAUUACAUGUUCUUGUAGUCAUUCAUUUUGAAACCACGGAGGCCAUCGCAUUAUGCAUUGGUUAGACUAGGUAAUUUCUGUUCUAUAACUUUUCUAUCAAUAUGCCAAGAUCGACUGUUCGCCUCACCUUUAUUCUACAAUGCCAAAAUGUCCAGAACAUAAGGGCAACAUAAAUUUCAAGCUUUUAGACCUUACUUAUGUUAUGAACUUAUGAUAUAUGUCUAAAUUCUAUAGAUGUUUUAUCCUUUGCUACAUCUGAGUAUACACUAAUUAGUUAAACCUUUUCUUCUCCGGAUCUGCAUUCCACCUGUACUAAUUGCGAGAUUAUAUAUGUGUUUGUGUUCAUUCUUAAUUUAAACUAGACCUAGCUGUAUAUACUACAAAAUUUGUUAAACUUGCGCUGGGCAGGUUUCCAUGAUGAGUUCGUAGCCUUUAUGAAGUUGUUGCUGAUUGUUUUCUGUAAUCAUCGCUCAUUUCUCGUCUCCAUAGCAGAAAAUUUGAUUCUUGCCUCUAACCUUGAUCCUGAUGAAACAAUUGCUUGGCACAAUAAAUAAAUGUUUGAGUGGCAUGAUGUGUUAGGUUUCCAUGAUUUACUGUCAUUUACAUGAGGAGGUGGCAGUUUUGGCUACCUCCACCCGCCUCAGUCUGUUUUUUAAAGUGGGAAGUGAUGAAUCGAACAAGGAGGAAGGACGACGUGUUUGUUCUUUCCGGCGUGUUUACUAGACUUUGUAUAUAUGAACUUCACCUCAUAUUUUCUUCCUGGCUUGAUAAGAACUGAACAAUACAAUUUGGUUUCUCGUGUCCAGUAUUCCAGAUUGAGUGAUGCUAGAGAUAUGCGACCCUUAGACCAGUUUACGAAAUGCUUUAGGUUUAUUUUUCUUUCAUGUACAUAGCUGGAAGUAGUCUGAUAGCCAUUUUAUAAGGAUAAACAAGGCUUACUGUACGUAAGGUUUGAGACUACCCCAUUUCAAAUAACUAAGGGAAUCACUAUUCCUCAAAUGCAAGAUAUUGGUUUAUUUUAUUUCGUAUGGCAUGUUUUUGUUUCAGUUCUUUGUUUUUUCAAUCCAUUUGCUUUCUUGCAGUCUUUGUGAUAACAGUGAUUUGAGAAGGAUCUGUCUCUGUAGCUGUAGAUGAUAACUACAUAAUUAUUUGUUCUUUCUAUGUGAAAUAUUUAACCUUCAGUACUUAUAAUGCACAAAUAUAAAAUUGUAUAUUGCUAUUAUGUUCUUCUAUCCUAGAAUUAUUUCCCUUAUCUGCCUAUCUUGAUCAUGAAAUUAAGUCAAUUUCUUCUAUUAUCUUCAUGUGUUUGGGGAUAGGAUUCUGAAAGCUUGCCUAAUAAUUUUAUCAUAUAAGUUGAAAUUCAGUAAAACAUUCCCACUUGACAGUUCUGUUGUUAUUCCCUUAAAUGUUGAUCCAAGUGUCAUAAAUGACACAAGAUGCGUAGCUUGUUUUUUACCUUACAAUUUUGCUAGAUACAUUCUGAGAAUAUUUUGUGAGGCAUCCUGAUUUGCAUAUCACAGGCUGCUAGAGUUGUUCAAGCAGUUGUGUGCGUUCUACUUUUGAUAAUUUUUCUAUCUAUAUUUUGUACUUCAUUUAGUUUGAAUAGAUACCAUAACCUAGGCUAGGUUCAGUAACUAUUUGUUUGCUUUUUUUACAUAGCGGCUGAAUCAAAAUCAUUCUCUUAUUUCCCUGGUGGCCUGGUGCUUACGGUUUAAUUGCUAUAGUUGCUGGAGCCAUUGGCCUUUUAUACAUAAUAGUGUAUACAUUUAUAAUGUCAAUCCUUGCUCAUGGUACAUCUUUCUUGGUUGUCUGGCGACAAGAGUUAGCAUAUCAACCAUGUGAGUAGGCCUUGCACUAACCUCGGUAUUGGCAACAGAUCCGACAAAUUUACUAAUUUGAUCUUAACAAUUAUACUAUGGGUUUGCCUUAGUUGACCAUCAACUGUGCAUCAUGCAAUUAAAAAAACUCUUGCCACUGUAGUUUUACUUCUAACUAAAGGGAUUCAAUUGACUGUGAGAGGAGAGCAGAGCAGCAAGAGGGGAACUCACUCCUCAACACGGCGACCUGCGCGGGCGUGAGCUUCGCCGUGAACCUGUUGAUGGCGUUCUUGUAGCUGUAGACCAGCGUCACUUUCGGCCUUCUCCUUACUUGGAAAAGAACCUAUCAUAGACUUCACCCAGCCUUCUUGUAGCUGUAGACCAUCAUGUCAUGUAAUUACUUGCAAAACAACUAUAUUGUUUUUUGGUAUUGUAAAGCGGAAAUGGUAGAACUCUACAACUUCUCUGUUAGUGUCGCUUGAUUAUUUACUUUCUCAUGUAUUGUGGAUAUAGUGCUGUCGGUAUAUUAAGUAUAUGCACGAAGAUAUGCAAAUUUUAAGUAUAUGCAUGUCGUACACACCUAGAGGGCUUUUCUGAACAGACUAGGCUUUUAGUAGAUUUGGGUUUCUAUUUGCAUUCAUUUUUGCCUCUCUUUUCUGCUGCAGCUCCGCUGGUUCUUUGUUCUUGCUGCGCUUUGGGUUGACUUGCCAUGGAACCGUUUGGCUGAGGUGUCUCCAUCACCAUUAUUUGCUAUGUUUUGGAUUUGCCAGCUCACUGACUGCUACAUUUUUCCUCUUGUUGGCCUCUUCUUUUUCUGUCGUCGUCCAUCGAUCCAACCUGCUGUUGUUCGCUUCGUCGGCUUGCAGUUGCUUCUAGAGCGUGCUGUGGAUUCGUUGUGCCUCCUUCCAAUAUAGGUUCUCUUUGAUUCCACUGCCUUUGCAUAUGCAUGUCUGAUAUUUUAAUCUAUAGAGUCCAAAGGAGAACAGAGGAGAAGUGUGAAAUAGAUAGAGUUUGUGCUGAGAAGUUCCUGACUAAUUCAUGCUGUACUAGUCAUGGCUACAUGUUUGUUAGUCAUUUGGCUGGGUCAGGCUUAUGUAGGGAAUAUUUUCUUAAUGAAAGAUAUGGUGAUAGGAAAUAGUAAGUGUAGUUUCGGCAUAUGUACCUGCAAAUUUCUCAAGGAUCAAUCGUAGUUGUUCUUGAACAAAGCAUUCAUGGAAUUUCAUUUUCAGUUUCAAGUAUUAAAGGAAAGGGUGGAUGUAAAGAAAUAGGAUUAUGCUUCUAUGGCAUGCAAUGUAAAGAAAUAGGUGAUAAUGUUGAAUUGCUUCCUUUCAUACUUGGAUCUCGCUAGAUU